GGAGAACAAUAUGGCGGAUGGCGAGGAGCCGGAGAAGAAAAGAAGGAGAAUAGAGGAGCUGCUGGCUGAGAAAAUGGCUGUUGAUGGUGGGUGUGGGGACACUGGAGACUGGGAAGGUCGCUGGAACCAUGUAAAGAAGUUCCUCGAGCGAUCUGGACCCUUCACACACCCUGAUUUCGAACCGAGCACUGAAGUGAGAAACAUUUAUUUUUAAAUAACUGCUCUAAUAGUUUUAUGUUUCAAAACUAAUAGAAUGCUUCUUUUUUAAUUUGCUCUUACAAUGAAAAUACUAAUAAAAUUGUUUUGUGAAACUAAAUUUUUCUUAAAAUAUGAGAUUGAAUAUUCACAACUGAUUUUGUUUGAAUGACUAUUUGAGUCUUAACAUUUCUCAUGUAAUAUAAGUUGAAAAUUUUUGUGAGAAAAAUCUAACUUCAUGACCUCAUGUAAAAAUUUAAAAUGCUUUCUGAAACAUACUCCCCUUUUGUAGUGCUACUGUGAGAAAUUAAUUUUGAUAGGAAUAUAGGUGUGCUUAUUUAAAUUUUGAAAUUUAGUUGGAAUGAACAUCUUAGCUUUGAGUAUAAUUAAUUGCAUGUUAAGAAUUAUGUAAGUACUAAAUAAUAGAGGCGUAGAAUUUUGGACUGAUAGUGUCUGACUUA
rnacentral:sRNA from 1 species